rnacentral:rRNA from 1 species
GACGAACGCUGGCGGCGUGCUUAACACAUGCGAGUCGAACGCGCCUGUCCUCUGGGUUUCUGGGGGGUGGGUGAGUGGCGAACGGGUGAGUAACACGUGAGUAACCUGCCCCCGUCUUCGGGAUAACGGUCUGAAAGGGCUGCUAAUACCGGGUAUUCACUGGUCUCCGCAUGGGGUCUGGUGGAAAGGUUUUUUUCUGGUGGGGGAUGGGCUCGCGGCCUAUCAGCUUGUUGGUGGGGUGAUGGCCCACCAAGGCUUUGACGGGUAGACGGCCUGAUAGGGUGCCCGGUCACAGUGGCACUGAGCUGCCGCCCAGAGUCGGACGGGGGACAGAAGUGGGGACUAUUGCACAAUGCGUGACAGCCUGAUGCCGCGUCGCCGCGUGAGGGCUGGGGGCCUUCGGGUUCUGAAACUCUUUCGGCCGUGGUGUAGCCGCGACGUGGGUCGUGGUGAGGGUAGUGGGUAAAGAAGCGCCGGCUAACUACGUG